rnacentral:rRNA from 1 species
UACGGAGGGUGCAAGCGUUAUCCGGAUUCACUGGGUUUAAAGGGUGCGUAGGCGGCCCGUUAAGUCAGUGGUGAAAGCCUCCAGCUCAACUGGAGAACUGCCAUUGAUACUGGCGGGCUUGAGUACAGACGAGGUUGGCGGAAUUGAUUGUGUAGCGGUGAAAUGCAUAGAUACAAUCAAGAACACCGAUUGCGUAGGCAGCUAACUAGGCUGUAACUGACGCUGAGGCACGAAAGCGUGGGGAGCGAACAGG